CACUUGAGGGACCAUCAAAAUUAAACCUUUCCCUUUGCUUUUAUUUAUUUAUUUUUUUUAUUUGGGAUAUCAGAUUCAGAUUUCAAUUUCUUUUUCCAUACAACGUCAGUCGACCUACUCUUUGACGAGGUAUACCCACCGUUGGUGCGUCGCUGUCCCUUGCCAAAGCUCUGUUACAACACCAGUCUUCUUAGCAUUUUUCAGUACUCUAUCGCACAAAAUAUUAUUUGCAGAUUUAUCAUUUCUUCGUGAGAGCCAGCUGCGGCCCUACCUGCGCAGGCGACCAGCCAGCUCACACAGCCUGGUUGCUUUUCGUCCGUGACUUGCAGCCUUACCACUGCUUCGAGUCGUGACUGACCAAUGCCGACCACGCCGCCUACACAAUGCGGCAUUGGUCUACCCAGCUGCUUCGCCAAUUUGGGACCACCAACUUCGGCAUUUGCUUACUUUGGUGGCGCUCGUGUCAUUUUGCUCUCCCUCGGCUUGUCUUCAUUCAAUUGGCUUCAUCUUCUUGAUUGCCCCAAAUCUAUUUAUUGAUUUUUGGACUUCAAGAUCUAGUUGAAUCUUUGCUCAAAGCCCUCUUCCUUUUUCUUCUUGCAUUUCUGUUUUUUCUGAUGAACCUCAUACUCUGAUGAACUCUAAAUUUGUGAACUUCGGUGAAAAUUUUAUUUGGAUCUUGAAUCUUGUAAUUUUUUUUUAUCCUGAAAUAACUAGUGCUCCUUGUUGAUUCU